rnacentral:rRNA from 1 species
UAAUAACUUUACGGAUCACAACAAUUUAUUUAGGUGACAUAUCAUCAAGUUUCUGACCUAUCAGCUUUAGAACGGUAGGGUAUGGGCCUACCGGUGGCUAUGACGGGUAACGGGGAAUUAGGGUUCGAUUCCGGAGAGGGAGCCUGAGAAACGGCUACCACAUCUAAGGAAGGCAGCAGGCGCGCAAAUUACCCAAUCCUAAUACAGGGAGGUAGUGACAAGAAAUAACAAUACAGGACUUUACGGUUUGGUAAUGGGAAUGAGUUAAGUAUAAACCCCUUUACAAGUAUCAAUGGGAGGGCAAGUCUGGUGCCAGCAGCCGCGGUAAUUCCAGCUCCAAUAGCGUAUAUUAAAGUUGUUGCAGUUAAAAAGCUCGUAGUUGGAUUCUGUUAAUACCUUAUAUAUAAUAUUUUUUUUUAAAUAUUAUUAUGUAAGAUUAACAUAAUUCAUAUUUUUUAAGACUGAAUUUUUAGUUUUGAUAAUAUGAAAUUUUACUUUGAGAAAAUUAGAGUGCUUAAAGCAGGCUUUUGCCUUGAAUACUCCAGCAUGGAAUAAUAAUAAAAGAUUUUUAUCUUUUUUUUAUUGGUUCUAAGAUAAAAAUAAUGAUUAAUAGGGACAGUUGGGGGCAUUUGUAUUUAACAGUCAGAGGUGAUAUUCUUAGAUUUGUUAAAGACAACUAAUGCGAAAGCAUUGCCAAGGAUG